GUACUGCCCCUUUAAGUGUGCCUCGUGCAGAGAGCGCGUGCACGGCUGCAAAGCAGAAAAACUUAUGUGUAACCAGCAGGGAGAAAACACACAGAAUACUUUUUUUUUUUUGUCUCCUGGACAAAUUGCUGGAGGAUACGACUGGAACCUGAAUAAUCUGAAUGGAUUCUUCUGGAUAACUUUUUGUCACCUUGUAGUCGUGUAUCAACUCUUCAGCUCCUGGUUCUGUCUUUGAGAACCUGGACAUUAUUUCUGGGGAAAUGGUAGGACCUAGACUUUACUCCAUGCACAUUGUCCGGGACAGAGACAUCUUUCUUCCAUUUUUUUUUUGCAUCUCAGGAAAAGGAAAAAAAACAUAUUGAUACAAAUUUACACAUUAAUACUUAUCGAGCCUUUUCAAAAUGUUUGGGUUAUAAGUGUAUUGUGUAUAUUUGUUUCAAAUUAAUUGUCAGUUAUUUUCAUUUUUUCAAGUGCCAGAAAGGAAAAAAGCAUUCACAUAUGCUACUACAAUAUACAUCCCUGGUUUACCGUU